rnacentral:rRNA from 1 species
UAAGCGUAAGAACUUGCCUCACAGUUAGGGACAACAUUUGGAAACGAAUGCUAAUACCUAAUAUUAUGAUAAUAGGGCAUCCUAUAAUUAUGAAAGCUAUAAGCGCUGUGAGAGAGCUUUGCGUCCCAUUAGCUAGUUGGAGAGGUAACGGCUCACCAAGGCGAUGAUGGGUAGCCGGCCUGAGAGGGUGAUCAGCCACAAGGGGACUGAGACACGGCCCUU